UACGUAGGGGGCAAGCGUUGUCCGGAUUUAUUGGGCGUAAAGAGCGUGUAGGCGGCUUCACAGGUCCGCUGUGAAAACUCGAGGCUCAACCUCGAGACGCCGGUGGAAACCAUCAGACUAGAGUCCGGAAGAGGAGAGUGGAAUUCCUGGUGUAGCGGUGAAAUGCGCAGAUAUCAGGAAGAACACCCGUGGCUAAGGCGGCUCUCUAGUACGGUACUGACGCUGAGACGCGAAAGCGUGGGGAGCGAACAGG
rnacentral:rRNA from 1 species